UACACUCCUGCGGGAGGCAGCAGUGGGGAAUUUUGGACAAUGGGCGAAAGCCUGAUCCAGCAAUGCCGCGUGAGUGAAGAAGGCCUUCGGGUUGUAAAGCUCUUUUGUCAGGGAAGAAACGGUGAAAGCUAAUAUCUUUUGCUAAUGACGGUACCUGAAGAAUAAGCACCGGCUAACUACGUGCCAGCAGCCGCGGUAAUACGUAGGGUGCAAGCGUUAAUCGGAAUUACUGGGCGUAAAGCGUGCGCAGGCGGUUUUGUAAGUCUGAUGUGAAAUCCCCGGGCUCAACCUGGGAAUUGCAUUGGAGACUGCAAGGCUAGAAUCUGGCAGAGGGGGGUAGAAUUCCACGUGUAGCAGUGAAAUGCGUAGAUAUGUGGAGGAACACCGAUGGCGAAGGCAGCCCCCUGGGUCAAGAUUGACGCUCAUGCACGAAAGCGUGGGGAGCAAACAGGAUUAGAAACCCGGGUAGUCCCAUGA
rnacentral:rRNA from 1 species